UGGGGAAUAUUGGACAAUGGGGGGAACCCUGAUCCAGCCAUGCCGCGUGUGUGAAGAAGGCCUUAUGGUUGUAAAGCACUUUAAGCGAGGAGGAGGGUACUGGUAUUAAUACUACCAGGUACUGGACGUUACUCGCAGAAUAAGCACCGGCUAACUCUGUGCCAGCAGCCGCGGUAAUACAGAGGGUGCGAGCGUUAAUCGGAUUUACUGGGCGUAAAGCGUGCGUAGGCGGCUAAUUGAGUCGGAUGUGAAAUCCCCGAGCUUAACUUGGGAAUUGCAUUCGAUACUGGUGAGCUAGAGUGUGGGAGAGGAUGGUAGAAUUCCAGGUGUAGCGGUGAAAUGCGUAGAGAUCUGGAGGAAUACCGAUGGCGAAGGCAGCCAUCUGGCCUAACACUGACGCUGAGGUACGAAAGCAUGGGGAGCAAACAGG
rnacentral:rRNA from 1 species